UUAUCCCCCCCUCUCUGUCUGCCACUGUCCAGUCACCACGCGACACUCCGCUCGCCACUCCCGGCGUCAUGGCCACGACCGCGUCCACCGCCGCCACGCUGCUCCCCAGGCCUGUCGCUGGCUCGCCGCGUCCCGGCUCCGCCUCCUCCUCCCCGUCUCACAGGAGGCGCCUCCUCACCGUCAGGUGCCAGUCGAUCAGCGUGGACAAGCAGCAGCCCAAGGCGAAGCGGAGCCUGCUCGACAACGCCAGCAACAUGCUAACCAACCUUCUCAGCGGCGGCAGCCUCGGGGACAUGCCCGUCGCCGAGGGCGCUGUCACAGAUCUCUUCGGCAAGCCCCUCUUCUUCUCGCUCUAUGAUUGGUUCCUCGAGCAUGGCUCUGUCUACAAGCUUGCUUUUGGACCCAAAUCAUUCGUUGUCAUCUCUGACCCAAUUGUUGCUAGACACAUCCUCCGGGAAAAUGCUUUCUGUUACGAUAAGGGAGUUCUCGCUGAAAUUUUAAAACCAAUAAUGGGGAAAGGUCUUAUACCUGCUGACCUUGAUACUUGGAAGCAAAGGAGAAAAGUUAUAACGCCUGGAUUCCAUGCCUUAUUCAUAGAAGCUAUGGUGAGAAUAUUUACCAAAUGUUCAGAGAGAACGAUAUUAAAGCUUGAGGAACUUACUGAAAGUGAAAACCGUGAACAAAAAUCAGCCAUAGUUGACCUUGAAGCCGAGUUCUCCAAUUUAGCACUCGAUAUAAUUGGCUUGGGUGUGUUCAAUUAUGAUUUUGACUCAGUUACUAAGGAAUCUCCUGUAAUCAAGGCAGUAUAUGGAACUCUUUUCGAAGCUGAGCACCGAUCCACAUUUUACAUCCCCUAUUGGAAUCUUCCUUUGGCUAAAUGGAUAGUUCCAAGGCAGCGCAAGUUCCAUAGUGACCUCAAGGUCAUCAAUGACUGCCUUGAUAAUCUUAUAAAAAAUGCAAAAGAGACAAGACAGGAAGCUGAUGUGGAAAAGCUCCAGCAAAGGGACUACUCAUCUUUGAAGGAUGUCAGCUUGCUGAGGUUCCUUGUUGACAUGCGAGGAGCUGAUGUUGAUGAUCGCCAGCUUCGGGAUGAUCUUAUGACGAUGCUUAUAGCUGGACAUGAAACAACUGCUGCUGUUCUGACCUGGUCUGUUUUUCUACUGGCUCAGAACCCUACCAAGAUGAGCAAAGCCCAGGCAGAGAUUGAUUCUGUACUCAGCAAUGGGGCAAUUACCGUGGAAUGCCUCAAGAAAAUGGAGUACAUAAAAUCGAUCAUUGUUGAGUCUCUUCGCUUGUAUCCUCAGCCACCAUUGUUAAUCAGGCGUUCUCUCCGACCAGACAAAUUGCCAGGUGGGUACAAUGGAGCAAAAGAGGGAUAUGAAAUACCAGCUGGGACUGACAUAUUUGUUUCGAUAUACAACCUCCACAGAUCCCCAUAUUUUUGGGAUCGGCCAAAUGAGUUUGAACCAGAGAGAUUUUCAGUUCCAAAGAACGAUGAGGGCAUAGAAGGGUGGGCCGGUUUUGAUCCCGGCCGGAGUCCUGGUGCAAUGUACCCCAAUGAGAUUAUAGCGGAUUUUGCUUUCCUUCCAUUCGGCGGAGGGCCCCGUAAAUGCGUGGGAGACCAAUUUGCACUCCUGGAGUCGACGGUGGCUUUGGCCCUGCUGCUGCGGAAGUUUGAUGUGGAGCUGCGAGGGUCGCCCGAUGAAGUAGAGAUGGUGACAGGGGCCACGAUUCACACAAAGAACGGGUUGUGGUGCAGACUGAGGAGAAGGACUUGAUCAAACAUAGCUUUGCACCUAAAAACAUCAGGGGCACCAAAUCCACACUCAUAUCUACCUGUUUGACAUCUUGGUGCAUGCAUGCACCUGCCCAAACCUGUACACAACACUUCAUGCCAACCAAACUGAUGAUAGCGUAAGCCGCCGUAUGUCUCAGCCGAGGUGUCCGGUUUCUUCUAAACUCAGCUGUGCCGUGUUGCAGCGGGUUGCAUGCAGCGCAGGGAACAAGAAGCCCAGGAAUAAACCACAAAUCUGACGGUGCAGACAGCGAUGGGUAAGUAGGUUGUUAACCCUGAAUUCUUUUCCACGGAAGUCGUAAUGUCCUACGUGCUCUAAUUAUUGCAUGUGUAUGCUCCUUUGACGGAGAAAAAUCGUUGGGGUUGAACUGGAAGUUUGCUUGAUUAUUAGUGCUUGAUUUCGAGCCAAAGCCGCACGUUUAUGCGACCUUUUGCGGUCAGCAAAUUCGCUGUCGCACGAGCUGUAUAUGGCAAGGAUGAUCGAGUCCAUUUGAACAAAUCUACAUGGACAACGAAAGCCUAGUCAUCUUUUCUCACUCAGGUAAAAACGAGAUGCUCUCAGAAAAAAAGAAGAGAAGGAGAUGUCAUCUUUCCAAGCACGUCAUCGUAUGGCUAAACCCUGCAACUCUAGAAUCAACCUAGCUAUGGUAAGAAACAGCCAAGUUCUUUUGUAAUCGGUCUCGAAUGUUUGUGUUCGUAAAACUCUCUUUCGUGCUCAACUGAAUGGUAGAGCUCCUGUACUAAUUUUCGGAGGAAAAAAAAAGGUUUAGUUUCUUUGGCCUU